GAAACUGAGAGUUGGGGAGGCACCGCUGAAUAAGCAUGAACGACAGCAUUCUUUCCAUUACAGACAGCAAUUGGCAUAGAGACAAGCCACAAUUCGACUUUGCCUUUUCUCAUUUUUCCUUUUUUCAUGCCUCUCUUUUAACACAAACCGUUAAUUACAUUAAUCUAAUGAUGCUAAUUCACUUAAAAAAAUUAAAAGAUGAUGAGCCAUCUGCUUUUGAAAUCAGAUUGCAAAAAACAAAGCAUCAGAAGAAGGUUGCGAAAUUUAAUUUAGUUCACCAGCAUAUGGUCAAAGCCUCCACCAGGCUGCAGCCCUGGAACCCGAUUCACUCCAACGUUGUGAAGCAACUGCUGCAGCCACCGUCUGGUUGUUGGAUCUUCACGAAGGCAACUACUGAAGGUAGCAUCUCUAAGCAUGUCCGGCAGGCAACUUCUUAAUGCAUCACAUGCCCUUGGAUUAUCUGACAGUCGAAGGUAACAUCGAAUAAUGUGUUUUAACAACCGAGAUGAGGGUUGUUCAGCAAGUGCUGCAACCAUGUUCCCCAAAACUCGACCAACUGCAAAAAAUCGUUCUGCUGUAGUGCAAAUAUAAUCCAAGCCCACAUCAUCCAACAAAAUCUUCUGAACUAUAAACGUAGCAACCUGCCAUGGGAAAAAUAAUUUUCUAAAGCAUUUAUUGGAGUAAGCUAGCAGCUGUAAAUACCAAAACAAGAACUGUUUACAUGUCUGCAACUUUGCAUUUUCAGAAAUUGCUUCCCAUUGUUGUUUCAGGAUUCUUAAACAAUCAACUUAUGCAAUUUUAAUAGGAAAACAUUUUAUUAUUAGCCCAGCUUAGAUAAAAUAAUUGGUAAGAAACAAAGAUACAACAGAAAACUUCUCAAGAGAUUUGUAUUAGUAAUCACAUCAUUAUUACUAGAAGCGACAAUGCAUUUGCAAAAACAAUAGGAAUUCCGCAUUUUUCAUUCAAAAAGGACAUCUGAAGAUGACAGUCAUCUAAUAUCUAGAAAUAUUAAGCAAAAUUUUGUAAGGUUCGCCCCCUUGAGAUCUACAUUGUCAAAGACAACAUACAUUAGCAGACAAUAGUUAAGUGAUACCCUCUGCUACAACUGGCCUCUAAUAAAAAGCCAUUGCAAUCCAAGAAACAAAAGUAUCAUCCAAGUAAUGUACUGAUUUCAAUAACUCAGAUUGGAAUACGAAUACAAGGAAACACACUUAAACAUCAUAAAAAGUGAAUGACAACAUUCUCUACACUAAGAACGUAAGAUUUUAAGAAAUUGAACUGAGAAAUUUAAAGGCAUUCUUCUAAUGACUGAAAAAAAUUACUUGAAGGAACCAAAUUGAACAAAAUUCAUUAUGAGCAUGUGAAUGAAUUUAAUUAGGUAAAGAAUAAUACAUUUUCCAAUUCAAAAGGAAUAAAUGGUGCAACAGAUUUAGCAGUAGUUUCUAGCUAAUUGGAAAAACAACUUAUGUAAAUCAACACCCAACUGUUUUUGAUAAUUCGCUGCCCAUCUCCAUGGUACGCAGACACAAAGGAAUUAUUUCAGUUGAGAGAAGGAAACUAAUGACUUCAGUGUCAUCAACCUGUUGAGAAAUAUGAUCAAAAUUACAAAAUAUCUAAGAUCAGAAAUGAACUAAUAAAACAUGUCAACCAUAGGAUAGAGAUUAAUGCGCUAAUUAAGCUGGAUAGUGAAUAUGCAACAUUCUUUCAUGUGGAUAAGUUUGACUGUGAGAGAAUGUGUCCCAAACACAAACAUCUUGUCAAGGUAUGACGGAUAAAAACAUAAUGUGUGUAGAUAUUGCACUAUCUAAUUAAAACGCAUACAUAGAUAGAUAGAUAAAAGAAUGAAAAUGAUCUUGAGCAACAGAACAUCAGCAAGGAUGUACCUUCACCAGGGCACCAAUGACACCUAAGCUGGUAAGUCUCAAGUACUCAAAAGGCCUUGACUUGCUAGUUGUAUUAAGGAAUGGGUAAAGAUACAAAGGUAUAUGAGCUGAAAAGGGAAAAGCAUCAGUUGGAAGAAUCACAAAUAUCUUGUUAGUUGAACUAAGUCAUCCCCAAGGAGCUAAUGGAAAAAUGAUGCUUCCCAUGAAUGAAAUUCCUUUACUUCAAAUGGAGAAGAUGCAACAAAGAAUAAGAAAAUUUUUUUCCCUCAAAUGCUACGCUGGUGAGAGAACAAGAAUAAGAACAUUACCAUUGAGGAACAACAUCCUUGUGUCUGGAUGAGAGGCUACACACUGUGAGACAACAUAAAAAGAUUACAAAACAUUCCAGUUGUCUUCAAACCAAAAAAAUACAAAAACAUACAGCAACUCAGAAGACUAAAAUUUCACCCACAACAUCUGAGCGAGUAAUUUUCAAUGCAAGAGAAGUGAACAAGCAGCUGGCUAUGAAAUGCAAAUUAGAUUAGACGUUGAAGGAUUCUUGAGGUUCUAGUGACGAAGAAAUGAAAGGCCUCUCUUUCUUUCAUGAUGAUUAGGAGAUAUUUUGUCACAAGAUUUAACUUUUAAGUGAGAACCCAAAGCAUAAAGUCAUUAGCAGAACAUAAAAGUGCCAUAUCAUGUUAACUUUAACUCCUUAUUCCUUAACGAACAAGCGUGGCAAAUUGACAAUACAUAUGCAGAACAAACUUCCAACUAAAGCAAACUACAGUAUCAAUUAUAAUAUAUCAUAUGAUAAUUUAAAAACUAUAUAUAUAAAAAAAGAAUAGAAAAAGAAAUGUUUGACCUGUAGAAGAGCAAGAGCAUUGCAAACUCGAUUUGAUUGUGCAGGAGAGAGGUUUGGUGGCGAUAAAACUGGAUAUAUUGAAACUAUCUCCUGCAAUUAAGAAAUAAAAUUCGAACAUUAUGUAAAUAGCAUGUAAAAAGAAAUCUGAUGUUCAUUCACUUCCUAACAAAAACAGGUACUAUGUAACGAGGUCAAUAUAAAAUGUGUCCGUAUAUUUUGCCUAUUAACCUCCAAAUAGAAAAACCUCUGAACCACAUAUAUAUCAUAAGUGCAACAGACAAGCGGAAAGAUUAAUUUAAAAAAAAUCCACAAAAGACAAGAACUCCUACGCACUAUGUUCCAUUCUGUCAUGUGGCAAAGAAUUUUGUUGCAACAAAUCUAUGAUUUUGUCUUCACAGCACAGUAAGCAAUUCCAUAUAUCAAUUUGAGAAGAGGAAUUAGAAGCUUUCAAGGAAGUUCCGCUCAAAUAAAUUGGACAACACAAUGGCUGAAUUUAUCUAAAAAAUGAACAAGAAAAAAGUAAGCAAACAAAGAACUAGAUCAAAUAACAACUUCAAAUGGCAUACCUGUAACAGU
rnacentral:misc_RNA from 1 species